GGCUGUACAUUUUAUUUUAGGUCCUUCUAAUCAACCGAAGCACAAAUUCAUACUACAAAUUAGCUUGGGCAAAUACAUCAAAACUUUCAAUGACAAUAGUAUGAUGCCUUGUUUUCUGCUUUUUCGGCUAUCGCUGGGUAAAGCCCUGCAUUGAUUGGUGCUACAACGCCACAUGCAAGAAGAAACACAACAAAUAAAUAAAUCAGUAAUCUACUAUAGAAGAAAAAAAAACCAAUUAGAAUCAUGAGAAUUUUGUGUUCUUUGGGGCACACACAAAAUGAGUUAAAGGGAACGCGUGCAGCAAUAUUCCAAAGUUUAGGAAGAGCUGCCAUGACCUUGUUACGUUUUAAGAUUUUUCUUUCUGAUCAGCUGGGGAUGUAGUGUAUAAUAAAUUAAUAUACACUACAUCCCCAGCUGAUCAGAAAGAAAAAUUACAGUCUCAUUGGCAUGUUGUCUGUCUAAGAAAAUCUCUGACAGUUGUGAAGACUUGAUAUUAUUAAAAUUACAGUAUUAUUAACAUGUUGUCAGACAUACCUGUAGUGUUCAGCUGAACUGUACUAUACUGACUUAAAAGGUUU
rnacentral:lncRNA from 1 species